UAACUAUAGAGAAACAUGACUGAGAAGGGUAGACCUGUUGCAGUGGUGAGAACUGAGUCAGGGGAGGGCUUACUCGGUUUAUCCCUUCCGCACCCUACUCAUGACAAGCCUCAGCCGCCACCUGAGGGCCGUCUUCCUGAUGCCACCAAGGGUUCUAACCACCUGAGGCAAGUCUUUGGCAAGCAGAUGGGUUUGAGUGAUCAGGACAUCGUUGCCCUCUCUGGUGGCCACACCUUGGGAAGGUGCCACAAAGAGCGGUCUGGUUUUGAGGGGGCCUGGACUACGAACCCUUUGGUCUUUGACAACUCUUACUUCAAGGAACUUCUGAGUGGUGACAAGGAGGGCCUUCUUCAGCUCCCAAGUGACAAAGCCCUGCUGAGCGACCCUGUCUUCCGCCCUCUUGUGGAGAAAUAUGCUGCAGAUGAGAAGGCAUUCUUUGAUGACUACAAAGAGGCCCACCUCAAGCUCUCCGAACUGGGGUAUGCUGAUGCUUAAAUGGCCCAUAUCCUGGAGCGGGAUACAAACUGCUGCCUGUAUGGACUCGUGCGAUCUUUUGCAUUUGGAUUCAGCUGUAACGUAGCUGUAACGUACCACAGGAUUAUGUGGUUUUGGGAUUAUUUAUUUCUCAAGACCAGUUUAUUAAUUAGUUUCAUUUUAUUCUUAUCAGCAUGCUCUCUCUCAUUUUUUCAUACUGUUGUGUUUGGAUGGUGUACCACCAGUGUUUUACAACAGUUUGGCUUUUGGAAUUGCUACUGCUAAAACUUCGUUCCUCUAAGAAGACCUUUUGUUUUUGCA